rnacentral:rRNA from 1 species
AACCUGCAAGAAAGAAGACCCCGGCUAAUUUUCCGUUCCAGCAACCGCGGUAAUUCGGAGGGUGCGAGCGUUAAUCGGAAUUCCUGGGCGUAAAGCGCAUGCAGGUGGUUUGUUAAGUCAGAUGUGAAAGCCCGGGGCUCAACCUCGGAAUUGCAUUUGAAACUGGCAAACUAGAGUACUGUAGAGGGGGGUAGAAUUUCAGGUGUAGCGGUGAAAUGCGUAGAGAUCUGAAGGAAUACCGGUGGCGAAGGCGGCCCCCUGGACAGAUACUGACACUCAGAUGCGAAAGCGUGGGGAGCAAACAGGAUUAGAUACCCUGGUAGUCCACGCCGUAAACGAUGUCUACUUGGAGGUUGUGGCCUUGAGCCGUGGCUUUCGGAGCUAACGCGUUAAGUAGACCGCCUGGGGAGUACGGUCGCAAGAUUAAAACUCAAAUGAAUUGACGGGGGCCCGCACAAGCGGUGGAGCAUGUGGUUUAAUUCGAUGCAACGCGAAGAACCUUACCUACUCUUGACAUCUGCAGAAGCCAGCGGAGACGCAGGUGUGCCUUCGGGAACUGUAAGACAGGUGCUGCAUGGCUGUCGUCAGCUCGUGUUGUGAAAUGUUGGGUUAAGUCCCGCAACGAGCGCAACCCUUAUCCUUGUUUGCCAGCACUUCGGGUGGGAACUCCAGGGAGACUGCCGGUGAUAAACCGGAGGAAGGUGGGGACGACGUCAAGUCAUCAUGGCCCUUACGAGUAGGGCUACACACGUGCUACAAUGGCGCAUACAGAGGGCGGCCAACUUGCGAAAGUGAGCGAAUCCCAAAAAGUGCGUCGUAGUCCGGAUUGGAGUCUGCAACUCGACUCCAUGAAGUCGGAGUCGCUAGUAAUCGUGGAUCAGAAUGCCACGGUGAAUACGUUCCCGGGCCUUGUACACACCGCCCGUCACACCAUGGGAGUGGGCUGCAAAAGAAGUGGGUAGUUUAACCUUCGGGAGGACGCUCACCACUUUGUGGUUCAUGACUGGGGUGAAGUCGUAACAAGGUAACCG